AUCUUCAUGAGGUGUAAUGGCGCCGGGAUGCGCUCUCCUCUUCUCAUUUGCCAAUUUAUUGCAGAUCCCUCCUCAAAAAAGUUUUGGGACUAACUCAGCCCCAUGGAGAUCAAGGUGAAUUAGAAAAACAACAAAACAAAACAAGAUUCAUUUUAACAUCUCAUUUUUCUAUCUCCAACUUUCCCUCCCCUCCUCCCACCCCAGGAAGAAAAGACUACGUUUGUUUCUGGUGAUACAUUCAUUGUAGGUGGGUGGGUGACUUCUAGAAGAGGAAAAUCAAGAAGAUUUGGAGAAGGAGUCUUGGAAGCUCUGGUGAAGUUUUCCAAAACUGGGAAGGACAGAGCCACAGGUCUGCCUGUUCUUUUGCUUUGCCAUUUGUGUGGAUACCUAGUAGAGCAAUUUGGGUGCCAUUCUUUGAGGAAUCCAUUGGAUCUGUCAGAAAGCUGAGUCUGCUCAGCCUGUGUUAGUGGAGAAGAGGGAAGGAAACUGGCUGGAGGCCGCUGGACCCACAGAGGACAAUAGACAAUCUCCUGCUAGAAAUGACAAACCAGUAUCUUGAGUAAAAUAAUGACUUGGACUGUAAGAAAUUAAUUAGAAAACAUCUGUGCAAUGUAGUGGAAGAAAAAGAAAAUGAGACCCAGAAGACCCAAAUCACAAAUCAAAAGGACCUCACAGAAGAUUCUACAAUUGAGAUUAUUUAUCCUGGCUAAGAAGGAAUCAGUGGCCUUAAGAAGACAAUCUUGAAAAAGGACCUAAGUGAUGGAUGCCCACUGGAUCCAAAGAGAGAAACUCUAUAGAAUUAUGAUCUAGGUUUGACUGACUCCUGGCAAGAAGCCCUACCCGCCAGCCAAUUUGGAUGAGGUCACAGGGGUCAUCCAUCUUUCCUUCUAUGUGACUGGUUUGCUCUUGCAUAUCAUGUUUUCCGCUCUUAUGCUCCAGAUCCAUCAUGAGAAGAACAUGCCCUGGAUUCCUGCUAUCCCUUUAGCCAUGGCUCCAAAAUUAACACACACAAGGAAGACCUGAGGUCAAUCCACAGCCUGGAUUCAAGUCACCUAAUACAUAGGAGAAUCAGAGCUACCCAGCCACACUCAAUCUACGUUAACUGAACCUCAGCUGACCUGCAGAUUUAUGAGUAUGAGAAUAAAGGCUUGUUAAUG
rnacentral:lncRNA from 1 species